UCCACACUGGGACUGAGACACGGCCCAGACUCCUACGGGAGGCAGCAGUAGGGAAUCUUCCGCAAUGGGCGAAAGCCUGACGGAGCAACGCCGCGUGAGUGAUGAAGGUUUUCGGAUCGUAAAGCUCUGUUGCCAGGGAAGAACGUCCGGUAGAGUAACUGCUAUCGGAGUGACGGUACCUGAGAAGAAAGCCCCGGCUAACUACGUGCCAGCAGCCGCGGUAAUAC
rnacentral:rRNA from 1 species